AACGUCCAUACCACCCUGAAUACACCAGCUCUCUUCCGAUGAUCGCAGUUAAGCAGCGUCGGGUGCGGUUAGUACUUGGAUGGGUAACCGCGUG